UGUGCUAAUUCAAAAAUCCACAUUAACCCCUUCAACUAUAUUGAGAACUUCUAUAAUUAUAUAGAACCUUUAAUGCUAAAACUAGUAACAAGAGAAAAUCCUCUCCCUAAUGCAAACAUAAGCCAGCAAGAACCCAUCACUGGCAAUUAACAACCCUAAACAAAAGUAGCAACCUCACUAGAAAACCCUACUUCCCCCAACUGUUAACCUAACACCAGAGCAUUUCAAGAAAGAUUAAAAGAAAAAGAAGGAACUCGGCAAACUCCAGUCCCGCCUGUUUACCAAAAACAUCGCCUCUUGCCCCCCAUAAGAGGUCCAACCUGCCCAGUGACUCUGUUCAACGGCCGCGGUAUCCUAACCGUGCGAAGGUAGCGUAAUCACUUGUUUUCUAAAUAAAGACCUGUAUGAAAGGUAUAACGAGGACUAAACUGUCUCCUUUUUCCAAUCAGUGAACCUAAUCUCCCCGUGAAGAAGCGGGGAUUCCCAUAUAAGACGAGAAGACCCUAUGGAGCUUAAAACAUCAUAACACCUGCCACCCACCUUUAAUUACCCAAGUAUUUCUUCAACCGGCACCCUGAUUUUAUGUUUUUGGUUGGGGUGACCGCGGAGAAAACCUCAUCCUCCGCAAUGAAAGGGGAAUUUCCUCUAAACAAUAAGUUACAACUUUAAGUAUCAAUAAAUUGACAUCCAUUGACCCAAUAAAUUGAUUAAUGAACCAAGUUACCCUAGGGAUAACAGCGCAAUCCACUUUAAGAGCCCCUAUCGACAAGUGGGCUUACGACCUCGAUGUUGGAUCGGGAUAUCCUAGUGGUGCAGCCGCUACUAAGGGUUCGUUUGUUCAACGAU
rnacentral:rRNA from 1 species